AAACCCGGUCCAAAAAAUAAUCAGAAAUAAGAAAUAGGAAUCUAGAGCUUUCCUAAAUCUAGCUGCCAGCCGUUUCUUUCAUUUCUGAAAAUAAUUAGUGUAGUAGCUGUCACAGAAUGACCAAGUAAAAUCAGAUGCAUAUCCCAGAUGAUUUGAACAUGCAGAUGAGAUCUGAGCUUGAUGCAGCUGAAAAUGAUCAUUUUAAGCUGGAAUGACAUGGUUAAGUUACCAAAAUUUGGUGUGUUUAAAGAUUUUUCAGGGAACUACAAAUGAAAUUAAACGCAGAUGUGGACAUACUAUUAAGUUUCAUGGUUUAUCAGUUGCAAUAAAUCACAUGCAUAACUGGCUUUUGCCAUCGGUCCAUUUCAUCGGUUUGUUGUCCAGGAUAUGAUGACUGAUCAGAAAUAUCAUAAUACAGUCCCAGCGUGGUCCGUUCCUGUGAGUAUUCAUUUUCUACCAUACAACUGCUUAUGAUGAUGAAUUCAGGAGUGUCAACGCGGUGUUGAUUAUACUGUACUUGCAAUUUUCAAAAAGUUGAGUUUUUUCUAAUCAAAUCCCGAAGUUUCUAGUAUUUUUCAAUAGAUUUCUCUGUUGAAACAGCUAUAUGCAAUUGUAUUGCCUAUUGUCAUCUUCAUUUUCAUCUAUCUUUGAAGGAGGGAUGUCUAUGAUCUGUACCACAACGUUCUAGAUCGGAAGGCAAAAUUUUUGUUCUAAGUUUACACAGCGCGAAUUGUUCAAGAAAGAAUACACGACAAAAAUGGUUCAAAUGGGUCAUAGAUCAUACAUUCCUACCAAGUGUUUAGUUCUUCCUUGAUGGUUUUGUCUUUUGGAAUAUGAUCGUUGGAAUUUUGGGGUGCAAGGCUUCUGAUUUUCUAGAGAGUAUGCUGGAGUUUGUCUACAAAUGAGAAUGUCCUACAGUCCAGCAGCACACCUGUUCCUUUUUUUAGUGCAGUGGACUGAUUGUCACCUUGCUGGUGCCCUUGAAUUGCUGAGAAUUCUAAUUUUCAAGGUUUAUGUUGAUGGCACCACAAACAUGUCAGUUCAAGAAAGAAAAGCAAGCAUUAAGGAGUUUUAUGGUUCAGAAGACAAAAAAGGCAAAAACUGUUUGCAUGGAGAGAUAUAGGAGAAGAGAUGUUGAGGAUUACUGAGAGUCUUCUGACUCAGACAUUGAAAGAGAAGAGGAAUAUGGAACCUUCAGUUUUGAAGUUAUGUAAGUCUUAAGCAAAUGUAACUCAACUGAGAUUUGGAUUUUCUCUAGCAUCGCGCAACUACGCCAGUAAUUAGCGGAUAUGUCGAACUUAAUUACUUGCCUUUGUAAUUACAUGAACAACAAUAUGCAAGAUAGUUAUCCCUUGAUAAUUGAAUAUAAAGUCGAUUUCUUUAUUUA